rnacentral:rRNA from 1 species
CGAAGUUGGAUUCGCUAGUAAUCGCGCAUCAGCCAUGGCGCGGUGAAUACGUUCCCGGGCCUUGUACACACCGCCCGUCAAGCCAUGGGAGCCGGGGGCGCCUGAAGUCCGGGACCGCGAGGACCGGCCUAGGGCGAAACUGGUGACUGGGGCUAAGUCGUAACAAGGUACC